UACGGGGGGGGCAAGCGUUGUUCGGAAUUACUGGGCGUAAAGGGCUCGUAGGCGGCCAACUCAGUCGGACGUGAAAUCCCUCGGCUUAACCGGGGAACUGCGUCCGAUACUGGAUGGCUUGAGUUCGGGAGAGGGAUGCGGAAUUCCAGGUGUAGCGGUGAAAUGCGUAGAUAUCUGGAGGAACACCGGUGGCGAAGGCGGCAUCCUGGACCAACACUGACGCUGAGUGAGCGAAAGCCAGGGGAGCAAACGGG
rnacentral:rRNA from 1 species